rnacentral:rRNA from 1 species
GAGAAAAGCUUUGUGAAUAUCCAAGGAGCCCGUACCGCAAACCGACACAGGUAGAUAGGAAGAAAAUUCUAAGGCCAACGGGAGAAGGGUAGUUAAGGAACUCGGCAAGUUGACCCCGUAACUUAGGGAUAAGGGGUGCUCUCGAAAGAGAGCCGCAGAGAAUAGGCCCAGGCGACUGUUUAGCAAAAACACAGCUCUAUGCUAAAUCGAAAGAUGAUGUAUAUGGGGUGACACCUGCCCGGUGCCGGAAGGUUAAGAGGAGGAGUGAGAGCUCUGAAUUGAAGCCCCGGUAAACGGCGGCCGUAACAAUAACGGCCCUAAGGUAGCGAAAUUCCUUGUCAGGUAAGUUCUGACCCGCACGAAUGGUGUAACGAUCUGGGCACUGUCUCAACUACCCGCCCGGCGAAAUUGUAGUACCGGUGAAGAUGCCGGUUACCCGCGACUAGACGGGAAGACCCCAUGGAGCUUUACUGUAGCUUAAUGUUGAAUUUCGGUAUUUCAUGUACAGGAUAGGUGGGAGACUAAGAAGCAGGGGCGUCAGCUUCUGUGGAGUCAACCUUGGGAUACCACUCUUGAAGUGCUGGAAUUCUAACCUGCGGCCGUGAAUCCGGUCGGGGGACAUCGUUAGGUGGGCAGUUUGACUGGGGCGGUCGCCUCCCAAAGAGUAACGGAGGCGCUCAAAGGUUCGCUCAGCAUGGACGGAAACCAUGCUCUUGAGUGUAAACGCAAAAGCGAGCCUAACUGCGAGACUGACGGGUCGAGCAGUAACGAAAGUUGGAGUUAGUGAUCCGGCGGUAUGUGAGUGGAAAUGCCGUCGCUCAACGGAUAAAAGCUACCCUGGGGAUAACAGGCUGAUCUCCCCCAAGAGUCCACAUCGACGGGGAGGUUUGGCACCUCGAUGUCGGCUCAUCGCAUCCUGGGGCUGUAUUCGGUCCCAAGGGUUUGGCUGUUCGCCAAUUAAAGCGGUACGCGAGCUGGGUUCAGAACGUCGUGAGACAGUUCGGUCCCUAUCUGUCGUGGGCGUAGGAUAUUUGAAAGGAGCUGUCCCUAGUACGAGAGGACCGGGAUGGACGCACCUCUGGUGCACCAGUUGUCACGCCAGUGGCACAGCUGGGCAGCUAAGUGCGGAUCGGAUAAACGCUGAAGGCAUCUAAGCGUGAAGCCGUCCUUAAGAUAAGAUAUCCCAUCAGGUCAACUGAGUAAGACCCCUCAAAGACUAUGAGGUUGAUAGGCCUAAGGUGUACGCAUGGUGACAUGUUCAGCCUGCAGGUACUAAUCGGUCGAGGGCUUGACC